CCCCUAGAUGUUCUGGGCCGCACGCGCGCUACACUGAACAGUUCAACAAGUCUUAACCUUGGCCGAUAGGUCUGGGUAAUCUUUGAACGCUGUUCGUGAUUGGGAUAGACCUUUGCAAUUAUGGGUCUUCAACGAGGAAUUCCUAGUAAACGCAAGUCAUCAGCUUGCAUUGAUUACGUCCCUGCCCUUUGUACACACCGCCCGUCGCACCUACCGAUUGAAUGGUCCGGUGAAAUCUCGGGACGGCGGCUCGGUUGCUUGCGUCCGACUGCUGAAACUUGAUUAAACCAUAUCAUUUAGAGGAAGGUGAAGUCGUAACA
rnacentral:rRNA from 1 species